GUACCAAUGAGGAUAUCAUUUACCAAUUAACACCAUCUUUCGGGACUGAAAUGGCUAUAAGCCUUGAUGUUAUAUUCUGCAAUUCUGAGGUAC